ncrna:unclassified sequences RT-2 RNA
ACGGGUCAAAUGCAGUAGGAAACGAACCGGACCCUUUGUGAAAGGAGAGAUACUUCCCUGGCGAGAGCCUAAAACUGCCCUUUGUGGCCCCUGCACGGACGCUGCUUGCAUGGCGGGGCUAUUGUGCUACCCCCGUUUCAUGUGCCGGGGCUACGCGGUUUAGCCGCACACCUACACCACAACCGCACGGAGGCGCGAAUACUUAUUAUGACCAGC